UUUUUUCCUGCCUGCUUCUUUUUAAUGAAUCAUAUUUUGGACAGAAGCCAUUUUCCUAUUACACACAAAUUCCCUUUUCCCAGCAAAUGGGAUUAUAUAAAGUUGAUUGCAUAAUGCUGUUGUUUUCAUGUGAUGUAGAAAACAUGACCAGUCUACUCCCAUUGUGUUCAUGUUGUCAGUUAAUCCAAAGUAAAUUAUAUAGGGCCACUAAUCAAAAGCUAAGAAAAAUAUUUAUCUCUUUGCAAUUUCUUCCACUGUAUAUUUUUGGUUCUAUAAUUAAAAUCUAGAACAUUUUGCUCCAAAAAUAGCAUUUAGUAACAUUAUUUAAAUUCCCAUUUUAAAAAUAGUCUGUAUUUACAAUGAGCAUUUCUGAUUAUAAAAAAUUAAAAUAUUUGUAGAGACUACUCUUUUAUUUUAGCAUGACCUUUAUUAAAUGGAAAGAAGCCUGACUAUUUUCAUUAUCAUCUCCUAUAAAUAUUGUAUCUCACAAUAAAUCCACUCUGUAAAUGUUUAGUUACACAUAAAAACUGUCUUAUCUUUGUCUUCUUUGAAGACUGAUAUAAAAUGACAUGAAGAUUCCCUUAUUAGCAGAGACAUGUUAUAUACUCAGUUUAAAAUUUUAAAAGGAAACCUUAAAUUCUCACCAUUACAGGGUGUGGAAAUGUAAGUGACUUUACUUGUUGGUAUGUACUUCAUUCCUAGAAUAAGGACUUAGCCAAAAGAGGUUUCAAUUUAGUAGAAUAACAAGUGCAUAAACAACUAGGGCAAAACAUAACAUCCAGAAAAAAGAGAGGACAAAAAAGUUUAUAGGUGAUACGUUCAGAUGUGGGUCAUCAGGAAUGAUUCCUCAAUGAAAGUAGCAUUUGAGUUGGGCCUUAAAGAAGGGGGAAAAAAAAGCAAGUGGAUGGAUGCUUAAAAGUAAAGCAAAUGAGAAGAAUGACCUAACAUUAAAAGUGGAAGCAGAAAUGUAGUUUAAGAGAGGAAUCAACAAUAAAAUUUGUAUAAAGCAUAGAAUGAGCAAAUGUGUAAGAGGAUGAGAAAGAAAAAGGAAAAAGGGGAUCCCAAGACAACUCUGAUCCCGGAUAAUGAGGAAAUAUUAGUGUCUUUUACAUCAAACAAAACGAACAUAAAACUAACAAGAAAUAAGCAAACAAACAAGCAGAACAAAUUUUAGAUUGAAAGUUGUCCUGGUCUGGAAGAAAAUUACUUCAGAUUUGGAUAUGUAUUUUUACCAAUACUUCUUUUUUAAGAUUUUAUUUAUUUGAGAGACAGAGAGAGCACAAGCAGGGGGACGAACAGAGGGAGAGGGAGAAGCAGACUCUCUGCUGAGCAGGGAACCAAACAUGGGACUCAAUCCCAGGACCCUGAAAUUACUACCUGAGCUGAAGGCAGAUGCUUAACUGACUGAGCCACCUAGGCGUCCCCUUAUCUAUGCUUCUUAACAGUUUGCCUAUGCUCAAUGGUCUUCAGAGUCUAAUAAUUGAUUAUAUGAACUGAAUAUUAAAAGAUAAUAUUAUUCCUAACUAGAUGAGCACAGGCUUUCAAAUUAAAAACUGAGUCCCCAGUCUGCUUCUCUUUUCAUUAAACACAACUCCUCCCCUUCCUCCCUACCUCUCUGUCUGGGAUAGUUCAUUGCUCAUGAUCUACAGACCUAAUGUCUCCAGGGUGCCAUCAUUCUACAGCACCAGGGACUCUUAGGAGCCUUACGAUGGGUUACCUCGGAUGUAAAUGCAGUAUCUGAAAUUCCAUAUUGCAUUUUUUCGCUUGAGUUUGUACACCCGAUUUGAGUUACUUGGGAGACAGCAAGCUGCAUAAACCCAUGACAAGUAACCCAGCAAAGACCCCUAGUUGGUUCCAAGACUGAAUUCUAGCCACGCAGUCACAUAUGGAAAGAAGGAAUGACAGCCAAUGACAACACCACAAAAUGUGCCUGUGAAUCUUAGACAAAUGGACCAUGCAGUAAGCAAGCAAUGGACUCACUUCAGGGGGUUUCUCAGCCUGAGGGAAGUAGAGUAAGUCCAUCUCAAAUAAACUGUUACUAAAAGAGGAGACAAGGUAAAAGGAAAGAAAAUAUCCUUUGUGACCUCUGGUGGGCUUUUAUACAAAACCUAAAUGUGAAGGGAAAUGAUUGAGUUCUGUGCAGGCUGCUUGCUCCAAUUGUAUGGCUGGUUGCUAAUGUAAUAAGUUUCCUGAGAUAUCAACAUAUUUGAUAAAGGGGUUUUACAUUUCUCUUUGUUAAUAUUCCUUGACUUUGUUCUGAACUGUUGUGUCACAUUUAUUGCAAAUGGUUUCCACAAUAUUUUAUUUCAUUAAAUCUUUAGGAAGUACUUUAUUUACCCAGUGCUACCAUUUCUUAGAGCUAAAAGCAUUAUCCUCAAUAGUAUUAGAACAGAUUUUACCUUUGCUUUUAGAACUGAGUCCUAGAAAAGAAUAUAAACCAAUAGUUUAAUUUUAUAUUUCAUGACAUUGAUUUUUAGGUGGAACAAGUUUGCUUUAUUUAAACAACUGAUUUGCUGAAAACUAAUUAACAAGAGUUUGAGAAAUAUAUAGUAUUGUGAUAUUUAAAUAGUUUGGUUAUAAAGUAAUUUUUACAGAGCUGUAUUUGAACAGGCAAUAUAGUACCAACAAUUAUCUGUAAUUAUGCAGGUCCAAUUGCAGAAUAAAAGUUUCAAUGUCACUAAGCACAAUAAGGAUAAUUACUCUUCCAUUAUUCUGAUGGGCAUGUAAUUAGCAACUUAAAAAAACUUUCACAGGGAUGUAACGCCACAGUUUCAAUAAAGACUUACAGUGUAAGCAGCUGGAUUAAUUGUAUUGUAUUUAAAACUGAUCUUUUUCAUUGUAGUUUUAAAUCAAAUACAAGCAUUUUUUCAAACAAAGCCUGUUUUUCCUUUCUAAGCAUUGGCAAAAGCUAGAGCAUAUACAGUAUGCCAUUGGACCUAA
rnacentral:lncRNA from 1 species